UCUCAGGCUGUGACCAUCUAGAGGUAAGAAGCACUCACUUUCUGUUGUCUUAAAGAAAAGAAAGUGCUUUUUUUGUUUGUUUUGUUUUUGAGA
rnacentral:pre_miRNA from 1 species